CGUAACUCGUUUGACACAUGCCCAUAUCGGAAGUCAUUUGAGCAGUUUUAUGAAAUAUUUAUCACAAAAUUGAUACGCGUGCAGGUAUUGUUUGGCUUUUCGAAGGUUGACAGAGGUGUGGUGGAUUUCGAAAUUGGUAUAAAUGCUGCCCAAUUUCGUACCACAUUCAUAGUUUACUUGCAAAGCAAACGAAACCAAGCAACAUGUUCAAAUUGUUCAUCUUAUUCGCCGCCCUCUUCGCCCUCACCAUGGCCGCCCCGGAACCCGAGGCGAAACCUGUGUACUAUGGGGCGUACCCGUACUCCUUAGGUUACAGCGCUUACAGCGGAUACGCUGGCUACCCCUAUUAUGGAGCUCAUGCUGGAUACCCAUACUACGGAGGUUACCUCUAUUAGAAUUUAAACGAAUUAGUACCUAUGUUUCAAAAAAUUCUAAUAAAAUGUUAUUGUUCGUAAUAA